rnacentral:rRNA from 1 species
AAUCAACGCUGGCGGCGUGCCUAACACAUGCAAGUCGAACGAGAAAGUCCGCAAGGAUGAGUACAGUGGCGACCGGGUGAGUAACACGUGACUAACCUACCCUCGAGUGGGGAAUAACUCCGGGAAACCGGAGCUAAUACCGCAUAACAUCGCAAGAUCAAAGCCGAAAGGCGCUUGAGGAGGGGGUCGCGGCUGAUUAGCUAGUUGGUAGGGUAAUGGCCUACCAAGGCGAAGAUCGGUAUCCGGCCUGAGAGGGCGCACGGACACACUGGAACUGAAACACGGUCCAG